AUCAUGUCUGUCUGGGAUGGAUUUGUAGAUCGGCAGGGAAGAUGUGAUAAGGAAGAUGAGCCGUCAUGGGAAGAGGAGGCGUGAAAAGAUACAGAGCGAGAAGGUGGAAUCGUGGAGAAGUUUUGAUGGGUUUAGGGCAGAGUAAUAUGGGUCCCGUAUGGGUAUGGGUUUGGGCUGGACCUUGGGUUGCCAUAAGUAGCACGGAAGGAUGUUUCGGCCGCGGCAGAGCGUACAGGUGGAAUCGUAUAGUUAUCGGACGUAAAACGUCGUACGUGAGGCAAUUCCGUUAUUCGAGUACAGUUCUUAAUUAUUGAUGCCGAAAUUUGGCGUCGUAUUCUGUUUCCCAAACUAGAUGGGGCCAUCGUCAUGGGUCGUAGCCAUGGAUGACGUUACUCGAGU
rnacentral:lncRNA from 1 species